rnacentral:ncRNA from 2 species
CCCUAGCCCUGAUAGCAGCGGCAUCCUUUUUGUUUUUUCUUUAAAAACAAAAAGAUAUAGCGGAUAGCAGGAAAUAGC